rnacentral:rRNA from 1 species
GACGAACGCUGGCGGCGUGCCUAACACAUGCAAGUCGAGCGGAAAGGCCCUUCGGGGUUCUCGUGCGGCGAACGCGAGAGUGACACGUGCGCAACAUGAACCAGCCUUUGGGUUAACCAUAGGAUACGGGGACUAAUACUGGAUACGACUCAGCGUUGCUUCGGCUCUGUGUGGAAAGUUUGGCGGUUUGGGAUGGGGUCGCGGCCUAUCAGCUUGUUGGUGGGGUUAUGGCCUACCAAGGCCAAGACGGGUAGCCGGCCUGAGAGGGCGACCGGCCACACUGGGACUGAGACACGGCCCAGACUCCUACGGGAGGCAGCAGUGGGGAAUAUUGCACAAUGGGCGGAAGCCUGAUGCAGCGACGCCGCGUGAGGGAUGACGGCCUUCGGGUUGUAAACCGCUUUCAGCAGUGACGAAGCGUAAGUGACGGUACCUGGAAAAGAAGCACCGGCCAACUACGUG